rnacentral:rRNA from 2 species
UUAAGCGACCAAGCGUACACGGUGGAUGCCCUGGCAGUCAGAGGCGAUGAAGGACGUGCUAAUCUGCGAUAAGCGCCGGUAAGGUGAUAUGAACCGUUAUAACCGGCGAUUUCCGAAUGGGGAAACCCAGUGUGAUUCGUCACACUAUCAUUAACUGAAUCCAUAGGUUAAUGAGGCGAACCGGGGGAACUGAAACAUCUAAGUACCCCGAGGAAAAGAAAUCAACCGAGAUUCCCCCAGUAGCGGCGAGCGAACGGGGAGGAGCCCAGAGCCUGAAUCAGCAUGUGUGUUAGUGGAAGCGUCUGGAAAGGCGCGCGAUACAGGGUGACAGCCCCGUACACAAAAGCGCAUGUGCUGUGAGCUCGAUGAGUAGGGCGGGACACGUGGUAUCCUGUCUGAAUAUGGGGGGACCAUCCUCCAAGGCUAAAUACUCCUGACUGACCGAUAGUGAACCAGUACCGUGAGGGAAAGGCGAAAAGAACCCCGGCGAGGGGAGUGAAACAGAACCUGAAACCGUGUACGUACAAGCAGUGGGAGCACAGGUUUACCUGUGUGACUGCGUACCUUUUGUAUAAUGGGUCAGCGACUUAUAUUCUGUAGCAAGGUUAACCGCAUAGGGGAGCCGAAGGGAAACCGAGUCUUAACCGGGCGUUAAGUUGCAGGGUAUAGACCCGAAACCCGGUGAUCUAGCCAUGGGCAGGUUGAAGGUUGGGUAACACUAACUGGAGGACCGAACCGACUAAUGUUGAAAAAUUAGCGGAUGACCUGUGGCUGGGGGUGAAAGGCCAAUCAAACCGGGAGAUAGCUGGUUCUCCCCGAAAGCUAUUUAGGUAGCGCCUCGUGAAUUCAUCUCCGGGGGUAGAGCACUGUUUCGGCUAGGGGGCCAUCCCGGCUUACCAACCCGAUGCAAACUGCGAAUACCGGAGAAUGUUAUCACGGGAGACACACGGCGGGUGCUAACGUCCGUCGUGAAGAGGGAAACAACCCAGACCGCCAGCUAAGGUCCCAAAGUCAUGGUUAAGUGGGAAACGAUGUGGGAAGGCCCAGACAGCCAGGAUGUUGGCUUAGAAGCAGCCAUCAUUUAAAGAAAGCGUAAUAGCUCACUGGUCGAGUCGGCCUGCGCGGAAGAUGUAACGGGGCUAAACCAUGCACCGAAGCUGCGGCAGCGACACUGUGUGUUGUUGGGUAGGGGAGCGUUCUGUAAGCCGUUGAAGGUGUGUCGUGAGGCAUGCUGGAGGUAUCAGAAGUGCGAAUGCUGACAUAAGUAACGAUAAAGCGGGUGAAAAGCCCGCUCGCCGGAAGACCAAGGGUUCCUGUCCAACGUUAAUCGGGGCAGGGUGAGUCGACCCCUAAGGCGAGGCCGAAAGGCGUAGUCGAUGGGAAACGGGUUAAUAUUCCCGUACUUGGUGUUACUGCGAAGGGGGGACGGAGAAGGCUAUGUUGGCCGGGCGACGGUUGUCCCGGUUUAAGCGUGUAGGUGUGUGUUCCAGGUAAAUCCGGUUCACUUUAACACUGAGGCGUGACGACGAGGCACUACGGUGCUGAAGCAACAAAUGCCCUGCUUCCAGGAAAAGCCUCUAAGCAUCAGGUAACAUCAAAUCGUACCCCAAACCGACACAGGUGGUCAGGUAGAGAAUACCAAGGCGCUUGAGAGAACUCGGGUGAAGGAACUAGGCAAAAUGGUGCCGUAACUUCGGGAGAAGGCACGCUGACACGUAGGUGAAGUGGUUUACCCAUGGAGCUGAAGUCAGUCGAAGAUACCAGCUGGCUGCAACUGUUUAUUAAAAACACAGCACUGUGCAAACACGAAAGUGGACGUAUACGGUGUGACGCCUGCCCGGUGCCGGAAGGUUAAUUGAUGGGGUCAGCGCAAGCGAAGCUCCUGAUCGAAGCCCCGGUAAACGGCGGCCGUAACUAUAACGGUCCUAAGGUAGCGAAAUUCCUUGUCGGGUAAGUUCCGACCUGCACGAAUGGCGUAAUGAUGGCCAGGCUGUCUCCACCCGAGACUCAGUGAAAUUGAACUCGCUGUGAAGAUGCAGUGUACCCGCGGCAAGACGGAAAGACCCCGUGAACCUUUACUAUAGCUUGACACUGAACAUUGAGCCUUGAUGUGUAGGAUAGGUGGGAGGCUUUGAAGCGUGGACGCCAGUCUGCGUGGAGCCAACCUUGAAAUACCACCCUUUAAUGUUUGAUGUUCUAACGUGGACCCGUGAUCCGGGUUGCGGACAGUGUCUGGUGGGUAGUUUGACUGGGGCGGUCUCCUCCUAAAGAGUAACGGAGGAGCACGAAGGUUGGCUAAUCCUGGUCGGACAUCAGGAGGUUAGUGCAAUGGCAUAAGCCAGCUUGACUGCGAGCGUGACGGCGCGAGCAGGUGCGAAAGCAGGUCAUAGUGAUCCGGUGGUUCUGAAUGGAAGGGCCAUCGCUCAACGGAUAAAAGGUACUCCGGGGAUAACAGGCUGAUACCGCCCAAGAGUUCAUAUCGACGGCGGUGUUUGGCACCUCGAUGUCGGCUCAUCACAUCCUGGGGCUGAAGUAGGUCCCAAGGGUAUGGCUGUUCGCCAUUUAAAGUGGUACGCGAGCUGGGUUUAGAACGUCGUGAGACAGUUCGGUCCCUAUCUGCCGUGGGCGCUGGAGAACUGAGGGGGGCUGCUCCUAGUACGAGAGGACCGGAGUGGACGCAUCACUGGUGUUCGGGUUGUCAUGCCAAUGGCACUGCCCGGUAGCUAAAUGCGGAAGAGAUAAGUGCUGAAAGCAUCUAAGCACGAAACUUGCCCCGAGAUGAGUUCUCCCUGAGACUUAGAGUCUCCUGAAGGAACGUUGAAGACGACGACGUUGAUAGGCCGGGUGUGUAAGCGCAGCGAUGCGUUGAGCUAACCGGUACUAAUGAACCGUGAGGCUUAACCUU